AUGCCUCUCCUCCAUCCCCCUCACCGCCUCUCCUCCAUCCCCCUCUUCGCCUCUCCUCCAUCCCCCUUUCCUCCUCUCCUCUCCUCCAUCCCCUCUCCUCCAUCCCCCUCUAUGCCUCUCCUCCAUCCCCCCUCCUCCUCCCCCCUUCUCCGCCUCUCCUCCAUCCCCCUCUCCUCCUCCCCUCUUCGCGCUCUCCUUCAUCCCCCUUUCCCUCCUCUCCCUCCUCCUCCACCUGCGUCUCCAUCCACCCUCUAUGCCUCUCCUCCAUCCCCCUCUCCUCCAUCCUCCCCCCUCCGCCUCUCCUCUCCAUCCCCUCUCCCGCCUCUCCUCCAUCCCCUCUCCACCUCUCCUCCAUCCCCUCUCUCCUUCUCACCUCCAUCCCCCUCUCCUCCAUCCCCCUCUCCUCCAUCCGCCUCUCCUCCAUCCCCCUCUCAACCUCUCCUCCAUCCCCCUCUCUGCCUCUCCUCCACCCCCCCCCUCUCCUCCAUCCCCCUCUUCGCCUCUCCUCCAUCCCCCUCUCCUCCAUCCCCCUCUCCUCCAUCCCCCUCUCCUCCAUCCCCCUCUUCGCCUCUCCUCCAUCCCCCUCUCCUCCAUCCCCCUCUUCGCCUCUCCUCCAUCCCCCUCCUCCAUCCCCUCUCCUCUAUCCCCUCUCCUCCAUCCCCCUCUCCGCCUUUCCUCCAUCCCCCUCUCCUCCAUCCCCCUCUCCGCCUUUCCUCCAUCCCCUCUCCUCCAUCCCCCUCUCCUCCAUCCCCCUCUUCGCCUCUCCUCCAUCCCCUCUCCGCCUCUCCUCCAUCCCCCUCUCCACCUCUCCUCCAUCCCCCUCUCCUUCUCACCUCCAUCCCCCUCUCCUCCAUCCCCUCUCCUCCAUCCCCCCUCUCCGCCUCUCCUCCAUCCCCCUCUCAACCUCUCCUCCACCCCCCUCUCCUCCAUCCCCCUCUCCGCCUCUCCUCCACCCCCCCUCUCCUCCAUCCCCCUCUUCGCCUCUCCUCCAUCCCCCUCUCCUCCAUCCCCCUCUCCUCCAUCCCCCUCUUCGCCUCUCCUCCAUCCCCCUCUCCUCCAUCCCCCUCUUCGCCUCUCCUCCAUCCCCCUCUCCUCCAUCCCCCUCUCCUCCAUCCCCCUCUCCGCCUUUCCUCCAUCCCCCUCUCCUCCAUCCCCUCUCCUCCAUCCCCCUCUCCGCCUUUCCUCCAUCCCCCUCUCCUCCAUCCCCCUCUCCUCCAUCCCCCUCUUCGCCUCUCCUCCAUCCCCCUCUCCGCCUUUCCUCCAUCCCCCUCUCCCCCAUCCCCCUCUCCUCCAUCCCCCUCUUCGCCUCUCCUCCAUCCCCCCUCCGCCUUUCCUCCAUCCCCCUCUCCUCCAUCCCCCUCUUCGCCUCUCCUCCAUCCCCCUCUCCGCCUUUCCUCCAUCCCCCUCUCCUCCAUCCCCCUCUCCUCCAUCCCCUCUCCGCCUUUCCUCCAUCCCCUCUCCUCCAUCCCCCUCUUUGCCUCUCUCCAUCCCCCUCUCCGCCUUUCCUCCAUCCCCCUCUCCUCCAUCCCCCUCUCCUCCAUCCCCCUCUCUUCCAUCCCCUCUCCUCCAUCCCCCUCUCCUCCAUCCCCCUCUCCUCCUCGCCUCAUCCCCCUCCCCGUCCUCUUCGUCCGUCCGUCUGUCUUUACGGUUGAAUUUAGAAACCGUUGUUUAGAUGCAGCAGCUGGUGCAAUUAACCUCUCUGUCUCUCUGUCUCUCUCUCUCUCUUUCUCUCUCUCUCUCUCUCUCUCUCUCUCUCUCUCUCUCUCUCUCUCUCUCUCUCUCUCACUCUCUCACUCUCUCUUCACUCUCUCUCUCUCUCUCUCUCUCACUCUCUCACUCUCUCUUCACUCUCUCUCUUUCUUUCUCUUUCUCUCUCUCUCUCUUUCUCUCUCUCUCUCUAUCAUCCCUUUCUCUCUCCAUCUCUCUCUCUCUCCUCUCUCUAUCAUCCCCUUCUCUCUCCAUCUCUCUCUCUCUCUCUUUGAAACUCACUUCUCUCCUCUCUCUCUAUCAUCCCCUUCUCUCUCCAUCUCUCUGUUACAGCUUGUAGAGGAGUACCAGUUGAUUCUAACCAUUAAUUGCAUGAUUGAUUGCUCGGAUCAACAUGCAAUGAUGAACCUGCCUCAGAACACUGUAGACAACACCGUAUUAACCUGUUGGUAA
ensembl:lncRNA